rnacentral:tRNA from 1 species
UGGGAGGUCGUUCAACGGUAGGACAGCGGGCUCUGGACCCGCGAAUCGGGGUUCGAAUCCCUGCCUCCCAGCCA